rnacentral:lncRNA from 1 species
GGUUGUACAGUGAUUUAUCUUUUAAAUUAUCUGCAAACUAUAUAAUUCAUUUAUAAACCCAUUAAUCAAGGUGAUUAGAUAGGGGCGCUGGUGAAGCCAUGCCCCAUCGAUAGAGGCAGCUACGCCGCUAGAACAAGCCUAGAGCCGGCCCCCACUACACCGCUGCCUGGGAACAUGUCAAGCCCCGGAGCCGGGUGCGGCCGAUGUGGUCUUGCCAUCUCGUGCCGCCGCCACCGCGCCCUUCUUCUCCCAUGUUGCGACCUACUUCCACGCUGCCGCCGCAUCGCACUGCCCUCGCAUGACCUGGCACUUCUCAGAUGUGAUUGGGUGAGUGCGUGGGGAGGGAACAGAUGAAGUAGACAUGCACGGCGAUUGAUUUUCGGCACCAUUGUUGAUUUCUCGCCGCCAAAACGCACCUCGCCACAGCUGAUCGGCCAGAGGCGUCGGUCGUCGGGUGGAGAUGAUGGGUAUAACACGCUUCGAUCCGUCGAUUCUUCUCGGAGCACGAGCCGCGGCCAUCGUCUC